CUUGCCUUACAGAUACACAUGCUCAGCAUUUGUCUGCAGAGGUUUUCAACUUGCCCUGAAACUCCAUCCUGGCAAAACGUCUGACACACAUCCCAGAGCACUUCAGUUUAAGCAUGGAGUGCUAUUCUGAUGCCACAGCUUCCAACACUAAGGGAAAGAACUAUGAGCUGGUUUUACAACAGCGGAACAUUGUCUGGCUGAAGCACUAUGACAGAAAGGUUUGUUGCAAGCUGCCAAAUUAGGGACCACAAUAAUUACCUGUACCAAAGACUCUGAAGAAUAGCUUCUGGGUAAUGGAAUUUGAUAAUACAUG
rnacentral:lncRNA from 1 species